UACGUAGGGUGCGAGCGUUAAUCGGAAUUACUGGGCGUAAAGCGUGCGCAGGCGGUUUUGUAAGCCAGGUGUGAAAUCCCCGGGCUCAACCUGGGAAUGGCAUUUGGGACUGCAAGGCUGGAGUGCGGCAGGAGGAGACUGGAAUUCCUGGUGUAGCAGUGAAAUGCGUAGAUAUCAGGAGGAACACCGAUGGCGAAGGCAGGUCUCUGGGCUGACACUGACGCUCAUGCACGAAAGCGUGGGAGCAACAGG
rnacentral:rRNA from 1 species